GGGGAAUCUUGCGCAAUGGGCGAAAGCCUGACGCAGCGACGCCGCGUGGGGGAGGAAGGGCUUCGGCUUGUAAACCCCUGUUGCCCGGGACGAAUCCCUGGUUUCGACCAGGUUGACGGUACCGGGUGAGGAAGCACCGGCUAACCCCGUGCCAGCAGCCGCGGUAAUACGGAGGGUGCGAGCGUUGUCCGGAAUCAUUGGGCGUAAAGGGCGCGUAGGUGGCCCGGUCAGUCUUUGGUGAAAGCGCGGGGCUCAACCCUGCGUCGGCCAGGGAUACUGCCGCGGCUGGAGCACUGUAGAGGCAGGCGGAAUUCCGGGUGUAGCGGUGGAAUGCGUAGAGAUCCGGAAGAACACCGGUGGCGAAGGCGGCCUGCUGGGCAGUUGCUGACACUGAGGCGCGACAGCGUGGGGAGCAAAC
rnacentral:rRNA from 1 species